UGCAUAAAACCCGUAAUCGAACCAGACACCCUUAGUUCUUCAGUCUUACGCUCUCCCAACUGAGCUAUUUCGGC
rnacentral:tRNA from 1 species